rnacentral:rRNA from 1 species
GAUUUCUGGCACGAUGCGCCUGGCCCGCCACGGUUUCGUGUGUGAGUGCCGGGUCGGAUCUACCAUCCUUCCAGAGAACGCUUCUACCCUUCAUUGGGCCGGAAACGCAAUCUGGAUCGUUUACUUUGAAAAAAUUAGAGUGUUUCAAGCAGGCGACUCGCUGUGAAUACAUUAGCAUGGAAUAAUAACUUAGGACUUCGGUUCUAUUUUGUUGGUUUCUAGGACUGAAGUAAUGAUUGAUAGGGAUAGUUGGGGGUGCUAGUAUUCAGUGGCCAGAGGUGAAAUUCUCGGAUUCACUGAAGACUAACUUAUGCGAAAGCAUU